rnacentral:rRNA from 1 species
CAGUCGCCACGGUAAUACGAAGGGGGCUAGCGUUGUUCGGAAUUACUGGGCGUAAAGCGCACGUAGGCGGAUACUUAAGUCAGGGGUGAAAUCCCGGGGCUCAACCCCGGAACUGCCUUUGAUACUGGGUAUCUCGAGUCCGGAAGAGGUGAGUGGAAUUCCGAGUGUAGAGGUGAAAUUCGUAGAUAUUCGGUGGAACACCAGUGGCGAAGGCGGCUCACUGGUCCGGUACUGACGCUGAGGUGCGAAAGCGUGGGGAGCAAACAGGAUUAGAUACCCGUGUAGUCCCUGUCUCUUAUAC